UACGGAGGGAGCUAGCGUUGUUCGGAAUUACUGGGCGUAAAGCGCGCGUAGGCGGCUUUGUAAGUUAGAGGUGAAAGCCCAGAGCUCAACUCUGGAACUGCCUUUAAGACUGCAUCGCUUGAAUUGUGGAGAGGUAAGUGGAAUUCCGAGUGUAGAGGUGAAAUUCGUAGAUAUUCGGAAGAACACCAGUGGCGAAGGCGGCUCACUGGACUGGUAUUGACGCUGAGGUGCGAAAGCGUGGGGAGCAAACAGG
rnacentral:rRNA from 1 species